UACGUAGGGACCGAGCGUUGUCCGGAAUCAUUGGGCGUAAAGAGCGCGUAGGCGGCUAUUUAAGUCCUGCGUGAAAUCCUGCGGCUCAACCGCAGACGGUCGUGGGAAACUGGAUGGCUAGAGUGCGGGAGAGGAGAGUGGAAUUCCCGGUGUAGCGGUGAAAUGCGCAGAUAUCGGGAAGAACACCCGUGGCGAAGGCGGCUCUCUGGAACGCAACUGACGUUGAGACGCGAAAGCGUGGGGAGCAAACAGG
rnacentral:rRNA from 1 species